GCCUACGGCCAUACCAGUCUGAAAGUGCCCGAUCUCUUCAGUUCUCAGAAGUCAUGCAGACUUGGGCCUGCUUAGUACUUGUAUGGGAGACCAACUAGGAACCUCAGGUGCCGUAAGCU
rnacentral:rRNA from 1 species